UAAAAAUUUAAAUCCUAUAAGCUAAGCUAUUUCUCUCAAAAUGUUCUAUUUUCACUUAUGAUUACAUUAGUUAAAGACAAAUUUGUUAAUUUUCCUUUUGUUGAAUAAAUGUUAAUUGUUUAUAAAUAUAUAGAUAUAUAAAUUAGUAUAUGUAAAUUUGUUUACUUUUUAAGAUUUUCUAUUUUAUUAAGAGAAUAAAAAAUUAAAUUUUGAAUGACACAUGUAAACAUCUGAUCGUUUGACUUGACACGUGGCACGAUCUUAAGAGUUAGUAACUUGUAAACAUCUGAUCGUUUGACUUGACACGUGGCACGAUCUUAAGAGUUAGUAACUUUGAAAACCAUACUUUAUAUAAUAAGAUUAUAUACGUUUAUUUAUAUUCACUAUGAUAUAUAUAUACUAACUAUUAAAUAA
rnacentral:sRNA from 1 species